UUUUGUGGGGUGCUCGAGUGGCGAACGGGUGAGUAACACGUGAGUAACCUGCCCUUGACUUCGGGAUAACUUCAGGAAACUGGGGCUAAUACCGGAUAGGAAUCCUUGCUGCAUGGUGGGGGUUGGAAAGCUUCGGCGGUUUUGGAUGGACUCGCGGCUUAUCAGCUUGUUGGUGGGGUAGUGGCUUACCAAGGCUUUGACGGGUAGCCGGCCUGAGAGGGCGACCGGCCACAUUGGGACUGAGAUACGGUCCAG
rnacentral:rRNA from 1 species